rnacentral:rRNA from 1 species
CACCGCGGUUAUACGAGGGGCCCAAGCUGAUAGUCUCCGGCGUAAAGGGUGGUUAAGAGCCACAAAAACUAAAGCUAAACACCCUUAAAAUUGUAAAAAGUAUUUAAGGGCAGGAGAAACAUCCACGAAAGUAACUUUACUAAACUGAAGCCACGAAAGCUAUGAAA